rnacentral:rRNA from 1 species
AUACGAACUGUGCAAACGUUAUUCGGAAUCACUGGGCUUAAAGGGUGCGUAGGCGGACUUGAAGGUCCGAUGUGAAAUCCCACGGCUCAACCGUGGAAUUGCGUCGGAAACCACAAGUCUUGAGGGAGUCAGAGGUAAGCGGAACUGAUGGUGGAGCGGUGAAAUGCGUUGAUAUCAUCAGGAACACCGGUGGCGAAAGCGGCUUACUGGGACUUUUCUGACGCUGAGGCACGAAAGCUAGGGGAGCGAACGGGAUUAGAUACCCCAGUAGUCC